UACGUAGGGUGCAAGCGUUGUCCGGAAUUAUUGGGCGUAAAGAGCUCGUAGGCGGUCUGUCACGUCGGCUGUGAAAACCCGAGGCUCAACCUCGGGCCUGCAGUCGAUACGGGCAGACUAGAGUUCGGUAGGGGAGACUGGAAUUCCUGGUGUAGCGGUGAAAUGCGCAGAUAUCAGGAGGAACACCGAUGGCGAAGGCAGGUCUCUGGGCCAUUACUGACACUGAGAAGCGAAAGCAUGGGGAGCGAACAGG
rnacentral:rRNA from 1 species